rnacentral:rRNA from 1 species
UACGUAGGGUGCAAGCGUUGUCCGGAAUUAUUGGGCGUAAAGAGCUUGUAGGCGGUUUGUCGCGUCUGCUGUGAAAUUUCGGGGCUCAACCCCGAACUUGCAGUGGGUACGGGCAGACUAGAGUGUGGUAGGGGAGACUGGAAUUCCUGGUGUAGCGGUGAAAUGCGUAGAUAUCUGGAGGAACACCGGUGGUGAAGGCGGCAUCCUGGACCGAUAUUGACGCUGAUGCGCGAAAGCCAGGGGAGCAAACGGG